rnacentral:rRNA from 1 species
ACCAGACUCCUACGGGAGGCAGCAGUGGGGGAUAUUGCACAAUGGGGGAAACCCUGAUGCAGCGACGCCGCGUGUGGGAAGACGGCCCUCUGGAUUGUAAACCACUGUCCCCAGGGACGAAGAUGACGGUACCUGGGGAGGAAGCUCCGGCUAACUACGUGCCAGCAGCCGCGGUAAUACGUAGGGGGCAAGCGUUAUCCGGAUUUACUGGGUGUAAAGGGAGCGCAGACGGCAGUGCAAGUCUGGAGUGAAAGCCCGGGGCCCAACCCCGGAACUGCUCUGGAAACUGUGCGGCUAGAGUGCUGGAGGGGCAGGCGGAAUUCCUAGUGUAGCGGUGAAAUGCGUAGAUAUUAGGAGGAACACCAGUGGCGAAGGCGGUCUGCUGGACAGCAACUGACGCUGAGGCGCGAAAGCGUGGGGAGCAAACAGGAUUAGAUACCCCCGUAA